rnacentral:lncRNA from 1 species
CAUGGGAAGGUUUAUGUUGUCAAAGUGACUCAAUUUAAAUUUCGUGUAUUUUAUUGACUUUUAAUGUAUAAUCUUUUAAUAUUUGGAUAGGCUACCCUCAUUCUUGAUCAAAUCACAUCAUCUUACAUCCGCCGUAGAAAGUUUAUUUGACGUAGAAAUUGUUUGAUCGUGCUUGUCAUCGCGGUUAUCAUUUAAAAGUACUACUCAUUAAAAAAUGAAAGGG